rnacentral:rRNA from 1 species
GAGGAAUAUUGGUCAAUGGGCUUACGCCUGAACCAGCCAAGUCGCGUGAGGGAAGACUGCCCUAUGGGUUGUAAACCUCUUUUGUCAGGGAGCAAUUGGCGCUACGUGUAGCGUUAUCGAGAGUACCUGAAGAAAAAGCAUCGGCUAACUUCC